GCAUAUUUCCUGUAUCGGUAGCUCGCGGCGAGUGAAGCGGUAAAAGCUCAAAUUUGAAAUCUGGUACUUUCAGUGCCCGAGUUGUAAUUUGUAGAAUUUGUCUUUGAUUAGGUCCUUGUCUAUGUUCCUUGGAACAGGACGUCAUAGAGGGUGAGAAUCCCGUUUGGCGAGGAUACCUUUUCUCUGUAAGACUUUUUCGAAGAGUCGAGUUGUUUGGGAAUGCAGCUCAAAGUGGGUGGUAAAUUCCAUCUAAAGCUAAAUAUUGGCGAGAGACCGAUAGCGAACAAGUACAGUGAUGGAAAGAUGAAAAGAACUUUGAAAAGAGAGUGAAAAAGUACGUGAAAUUGUUGAAAGGGAAGGGCAUUUGAUCAGACAUGGUGUUUUUUGCAUGCACUCGCCUCUCGUGGGCUUGGGCCUCUCAAAAAUUUCACUGGGCCAACAUCAAUUCUGGCAGCAGGAUAAAUCCUUAAGAAUGUAGCUACUUCGGUAGUGUUAUAGCUUAUGGGAAUACUGCUAGCUGGGAUUGAGGACUGCGCUUCGGCAAGGAUGUUGGCAUAAUGGUUAAAUGCCGCCCGUCUUGAACCCACGGACCA
rnacentral:rRNA from 1 species